AUUGAACGCUGGCGGCAUGCUUUACACAUGCAAGUCGAACGGUAACAGGCCUCAAGGUGCUGACGAGUGGCGAACGGGUGAGUAAUGCAUCGGAACGUGCCCAGUCGUGGGGGAUAACUACUCGAAAGAGUAGCUAAUACCGCAUACGAUCUAUGGAUGAAAGCGGGGGACCGUAAGGCCUCGCGCGAUUGGAGCGGCCGUUGUCAGAUUAGGUCGUUGGUGGGGUAAAGGCUCCCCACGCCAACGAUCUGUAGCUGGUCUGAGAGGACGACCCGCCACACUGGGACUGAGAAACGGCACAGAGUCCUAGGGGAGGCAGCAGUGGGGAAUGUUGGACAAUGGGCGCAAGCCUGAUCCAGCAAUGCAGCGUGCAGGAAGAAGGCCUUCGGGUUGUAAACUGCUUUUGGACGGAACGAAACGGCUCUGGUUAAUACCCGGGGCUAAUGACGGUACCGGAAGAAUAAGCACCGGCUAACUACGUG
rnacentral:rRNA from 1 species